AAAUUAACCCCAUUAACUUAGUUAAAAUCAAUUAAACUCAAUUGUGAUGUUGCCACCAUAUAAUCAUUUACUUCAUACAUGUGGCAUGUAUCAACAUAAACUUCGUGUAGUUGUUAACACAUUCUUAUACAUUGGAUGGUUUCCACCAUAUUAGCUUAAAUUUCAUGUAGUUGAAAAACUUUUUUCCAAGUAAAUUGUACAAAUGUAUUUCUUUUUAUAUUUAAGUUUUAAAAGUAAAUUAUUUGUAUACUACGCAUGUUUGUGAAUUGAUUAAAUAUAAGAAAUAUAUUUAUUUUAAUCAAUAGUAUUUUAAUUCAUAGUUAAAUCAUUACAUGCAUUUAGUAGAUCAAUGUUAUACCUUCUGAUUCUUCACUGCUUGGCCUUUAGCAACAUCCUCGUUCUUAUCAUGCUUAAGGUUCUUUAGUAUAUCCUUAUACCCAUGAAGAAGUAUAGUACAUUGUUAUUAGUCACUCUUUUUGGUUUCAAUAAAUUCAAACUUACUUCUAAAUCCAGCUAAUACUCUUGUUUAUAAUAAUGAGCUAAGUUAAAAAAAAAAAGACUUCCACAAGACUAUCUACCAUUUUUAGAAACCAUACAGAAACUCUGCCAUGAUGGAAAUAGGAAGUGACAAAAGUAGAGAUAGUUAAGAAUUUAAGAUAAAUCUUACUGGUCUUGAGAACGAAGCUCCUACUCUUUUUCAAGCUCUUCCUUAGAAGCAUUUAUCGUCAUCAUCUCCUUCAUCAUCAUCUUCUUCCAUGCUAUGAUCAUCUUCGCCAUCUUCUACCCAUCAAAUAAAUCAUCAUCUUCAUUCUCCCUUU
rnacentral:lncRNA from 1 species